GGUUAAGCGACUAAGCGUACACGGUGGAUGCCCUGGCAGUCAGAGGCGAUGAAGGACGUGCUAAUCUGCGAUAAGCGCCGGUAAGGUGAUAUGAACCGUUAUAACCGGCGAUUUCCGAAUGGGGAAACCCAGUGUGACUCGUCACACUAUCAUUAACUGAAUCCAUAGGUUAAUGAGGCGAACCGGGGGAACUGAAACAUCUAAGUACCCCGAGGAAAAGAAAUCAACCGAGAUUCCCCCAGUAGCGGCGAGCGAACGGGGAGGAGCCCAGAGCCUGAAUCAGCAUGUGUGUUAGUGGAAGCGUCUGGAAAGGCGCGCGAUACAGGGUGACAGCCCCGUACACAAAAGCGCAUGUGCUGUGAGCUCGAUGAGUAGGGCGGGACACGUGGUAUCCUGUCUGAAUAUGGGGGGACCAUCCUCCAAGGCUAAAUACUCCUGACUGACCGAUAGUGAACCAGUACCGUGAGGGAAAGGCGAAAAGAACCCCGGCGAGGGGAGUGAAAAAGAACCUGAAACCGUGUACGUACAAGCAGUGGGAGCACAGGUUUACCUGUGUGACUGCGUACCUUUUGUAUAAUGGGUCAGCGACUUAUAUUCUGUAGCAAGGUUAACCGAAUAGGGGAGCCGGAGGGAAACCGAGUCUUAAUUGGGCGUUAAGUUGCAGGGUAUAGACCCGAAACCCGGUGAUCUAGCCAUGGGCAGGUUGAAGGUUGGGUAACACUAACUGGAGGACCGAACCGACUAAUGUUGAAAAAUUAGCGGAUGACCUGUGGCUGGGGGUGAAAGGCCAAUCAAACCGGGAGAUAGCUGGUUCUCCCCGAAAGCUAUUUAGGUAGCGCCUCGUGAAUUCAUCUCCGGGGGUAGAGCACUGUUUCGGCUAGGGGGCCAUCCCGGCUUACCAACCCGAUGCAAACUGCGAAUACCGGAGAAUGUUAUCACGGGAGACACACGGCGGGUGCUAACGUCCGUCGUGAAGAGGGAAACAACCCAGACCGCCAGCUAAGGUCCCAAAGUCAUGGUUAAGUGGGAAACGAUGUGGGAAGGCCCAGACAGCCAGGAUGUUGGCUUAGAAGCAGCCAUCAUUUAAAGAAAGCGUAAUAGCUCACUGGUCGAGUCGGCCUGCGCGGAAGAUGUAACGGGGCUAAACCAUGCACCGAAGCUGCGGCAGCGACGCUGAUGCGUUGUUGGGUAGGGGAGCGUUCUGUAAGCCUGCGAAGGUGGCCUGUGAGGGUUGCUGGAGGUAUCAGAAGUGCGAAUGCUGACAUAAGUAACGAUAAAGCGGGUGAAAAGCCCGCUCGCCGGAAGACCAAGGGUUCCUGUCCAACGUUAAUCGGGGCAGGGUGAGUCGACCCCUAAGGCGAGGCCGAAAGGCGUAGUCGAUGGGAAACGGGUUAAUAUUCCCGUACUUGGUGUUACUGCGAAGGGGGGACGGAGAAGGCUAUGUUGGCCGGGCGACGGUUGUCCCGGUUUAAGCGUGUAGGUGUGUGUUCCAGGUAAAUCCGGUUCACUUUAACACUGAGGCGUGAUGACGAGGCACUACGGUGCUGAAGCAACAAAUGCCCUGCUUCCAGGAAAAGCCUCUAAGCAUCAGGUAACAUCAAAUCGUACCCCAAACCGACACAGGUGGUCAGGUAGAGAAUACCAAGGCGCUUGAGAGAACUCGGGUGAAGGAACUAGGCAAAAUGGUGCCGUAACUUCGGGAGAAGGCACGCUGACACGUAGGUGAAGUGAUUUACUCAUGGAGCUGAAGUCAGUCGAAGAUACCAGCUGGCUGCAACUGUUUAUUAAAAACACAGCACUGUGCAAACACGAAAGUGGACGUAUACGGUGUGACGCCUGCCCGGUGCCGGAAGGUUAAUUGAUGGGGUCAGCGCAAGCGAAGCUCCUGAUCGAAGCCCCGGUAAACGGCGGCCGUAACUAUAACGGUCCUAAGGUAGCGAAAUUCCUUGUCGGGUAAGUUCCGACCUGCACGAAUGGCGUAAUGAUGGCCAGGCUGUCUCCACCCGAGACUCAGUGAAAUUGAACUCGCUGUGAAGAUGCAGUGUACCCGCGGCAAGACGGAAAGACCCCGUGAACCUUUACUAUAGCUUGACACUGAACAUUGAGCCUUGAUGUGUAGGAUAGGUGGGAGGCUUUGAAGUGUGGACGCCAGUCUGCAUGGAGCCGACCUUGAAAUACCACCCUUUAAUGUUUGAUGUUCUAACGUGGACCCGUGAUCCGGGUUGCGGACAGUGUCUGGUGGGUAGUUUGACUGGGGCGGUCUCCUCCUAAAGAGUAACGGAGGAGCACGAAGGUUGGCUAAUCCUGGUCGGACAUCAGGAGGUUAGUGCAAUGGCAUAAGCCAGCUUGACUGCGAGCGUGACGGCGCGAGCAGGUGCGAAAGCAGGUCAUAGUGAUCCGGUGGUUCUGAAUGGAAGGGCCAUCGCUCAACGGAUAAAAGGUACUCCGGGGAUAACAGGCUGAUACCGCCCAAGAGUUCAUAUCGACGGCGGUGUUUGGCACCUCGAUGUCGGCUCAUCACAUCCUGGGGCUGAAGUAGGUCCCAAGGGUAUGGCUGUUCGCCAUUUAAAGUGGUACGCGAGCUGGGUUUAGAACGUCGUGAGACAGUUCGGUCCCUAUCUGCCGUGGGCGCUGGAGAACUGAGGGGGGCUGCUCCUAGUACGAGAGGACCGGAGUGGACGCAUCACUGGUGUUCGGGUUGUCAUGCCAAUGGCACUGCCCGGUAGCUAAAUGCGGAAGAGAUAAGUGCUGAAAGCAUCUAAGCACGAAACUUGCCCCGAGAUGAGUUCUCCCUGAGACUUAAAGUCUCCUGAAGGAACGUUGAAGACGACGACGUUGAUAGGCCGGGUGUGUAAGCGCAGCGAUGCGUUGAGCUAACCGGUACUAAUGAACCGUGAGGCUUAACCUU
rnacentral:rRNA from 1 species